rnacentral:tRNA from 1 species
UCCCUGGAGGACUAGUGGUUAGGCCACAGCGCUCUUACUGCUGUGACCCGGGUUUGAUACCCAGCCAGGAAA